GCUGGGUGUGGGGGCGCACACCUGUAAUCCCAGCUACUCUGGAGGCUGAGGCAGGAGAAUCGCUUGAACCCAGGAGGUGGAGGUUGCAGUGAGCCGAGACCACGCCACUGCACUGUAUCCUGGGCAACAGAGCGAGACUCCAUCUCAA
rnacentral:SRP_RNA from 1 species